rnacentral:rRNA from 1 species
GACGAACGCUGGCGGCGUGCUUAACACAUGCAAGUCGAGCGGAAAGGCCCUUCGGGGUACUCGAGCGGCGAACGGGUGAGUAACACGUGAGUAACCUGCCCUCCACUCUGGGAUAAGCCCGGGAAACUGGGUCUAAUACCGGAUAUGACUCCCUGUCUCAUGGCGGGGGGUGGUAAAGGUUUUUUACGGUUGGGGAGUGACGUCGCGGCCUAUCAGCUUGUUGGUGAGGUAAUGGCUUACCAAGGCGACGACGGGAGCCGGCCUGAGAGGGCGACCGGCCACACUGGGACUGAGACAC